UGUACUUAGGUGCGAGCUGCGGCGGGAAUGCGAGGAGGGGAUGCGUUAUUAGUACUUGUUGGGCGUAGAAGUUGGGUGGGCGGUGUUGGAAGUCGGUCGUUAAAGCCCCUGGCUUAACCGGGGAAUGGCGAUGGAGACUGAAAGGUUAGAGUUUGGCAGAGGGUGGUAGAAUGCCACGUGUAGCAGUGAAAUGCGUAGAGAUGUGGAGGAACACCGAUGUCGAAGGCAGCCCCCUGGGUCAAAACGGACGCUCAUGCACGAAAGCGUGGGGAGCAAACAGGAUUAGAUACUCCUGUAGUC
rnacentral:rRNA from 1 species